UACGUAGGGUGCAAGCGUUAAUCGGAAUUACUGGGCGUAAAGCGCACGUAGGCGGUCAGGCAAGUCGGGUGUGAAAGCCCUGGGCUCAACCUGGGAAUUGCAUUCGAAACUAUCUGACUCGAGUAUGGGAGAGGGAAGCGGAAUUUCCGGUGUAGCGGUGAAAUGCGUAGAUAUCGGAAGGAACACCAGUGGCGAAGGCGGCUUCCUGGACUAAUACUGACGCUGAGGUGCGAAAGCGUGGGGAGCAAACAGG
rnacentral:rRNA from 1 species